AUUGAACGCUGGCGGCAGGCCUAACACAUGCAAGUCGAACGAGUGGCGGACGGGUGAGUAAUGUCUGGGAAACUGCCUGAUGGAGGGGGAUCACUACUGGAAACGGUAGCUAAUACCGCAUACCAUCGGAUGUGCCCAGAUGGGAGUAGCUAGUAGGUGGGGUAAAGGCUCACCAAGGCGACGAUCCCUAGCUGGUCUGAGAGGAUGAACAGCCACACUGUAACGGAGAACCGGUCCAGACUCCUACGGUAGGCAGCAGUUGGGAAUAUUGCACAAGGGGCGCAAGCCUGAUGCAGCCAUGCCGCGUGUAUGAAGAAGGCCUUCGGGUUGUAAAGUACUUUCAGCGGGGAGGCGUUACCCGCAGAAGAAGCACCGGCUAACUCCGUGCCAGCAGCCGCGGUAAUUC
rnacentral:rRNA from 1 species